rnacentral:rRNA from 1 species
UACGAAGGGGGCUAGCGUUGCUCGGAAUUACUGGGCGUAAAGGGCGCGUAGGCGGACGUAUAUGUGCCCGGUGACAUCUGCACGCUCAACGUGCAGCGGUCUGGGUAGACAGUGCGACUGGAGGCAGGGAGAGGGAUGUGGAAUACCCGGUGGAGCGGUGAAAUGCGUAGAGAUCGGGUGGAACACCAGCGGCGAAGGCGGCAUCCUGGCCCUGAACUGACGCUGAGGCGCGAUAGCGUGGGGAGCAAACGG